rnacentral:rRNA from 1 species
CACGUAGUUAGCCGGGGCUUUCUUCUCAGGUACCGUCACCCAAAGAGCAGUUACUCUCUCUGGCGUUCUUCCCUGGCAACAGAGCUUUACGAUCCGAAAACCUUCAUCACUCACGCGGCGUUGCUCCGUCAGACUUUCGUCCAUUGCGGAAGAUUCCCUACUGCUGCCUCCCGUAGGAGUCUGGGCCGUGUCUCAGUCCCAGUGUGGCCGUUCACCCUCUCAGGUCGGCUACGCAUCGUCGCCUUGGUAGGCCAUUACCCCACCAACUAGCUAAUGCGCCGCAGGCCCAUCCUCAAGUGACAGAUUGCUCCGCCUUUCCAUAUUCAGCCAUGCAGCCAAAUAUCCUAUCUGGUAUUAGCUACCGUUUCCGGUAGUUAUCCCAGUCUUGAGGGCAGGUUGCCUACGUGUUACUCACCCGUCCGCCGCUAAAUCUCAGGAGUGCAAGCACUCCAUCGAUCCCGCUCGACUUGCAUGUAUUAGGCACGCCGCCA